UAAGAUUUCCCUAGGACUUUAUGUCCUCUAAAGAGCCGUUCGAGACUAGGACGUUGAUAGGUUGGAUGUGGAAGCAUAGUGAUAUGUGAAGCUGACCAAUACUAAUUGCUCGUGAGGCUUGACUAUACAACACCCAAGCAGUUG
rnacentral:rRNA from 1 species